GAACUGAAUUAAAAGUUACGAAAAAUGAAAAAGAAAGAAAAAAAGUAAUAUUCAUUAAUCCCCAAAUAUCAAAACACGAACCCUAAAUCACAUCCCUCUCUCCUCUGUGUUCAGAGAAAAAAAAACAGAGCGGAGAAGCCGCAUCUCAGCUGGAUAUAGAAGAAGCUCUUGAAGCUUCCAGAUACGCUAGUCAACCAUAUUCUACUCAUCGCAGAGAGAGGUGGGUGAUACUGGGAAACUUCCUUCUGUAAUUAUUGAGAGGUAUAAUACAGCAGGCGAUGAAGGCACGACUUUUUGUGCGAUUUUUUCCAGAGAUUCGGCGGGCUUGGGCAUCCGUGGACAAUUCUCUGUUUUCUGUGGCGUUUCGACAAAAGUUGUUGCUUUGUCAAUUAGGGAUGGGCAAUGUCGUCAGGCUAUUUGUGCGUAGUUUAGCCAAAUAUAGAUCUGUUUUUUUUUUUGAAGCUAUUCAGGACAGAGGGUCUUGAUCUUCCUGAUGUACUCGUGGAAGUCGAAAAGUGAGGAUCCUCUUUAGACGAGUUGCUAGCAGUUCCUGAACAAGAUGAUUGGAUAUAGAGCGAUGGGAAAUCAACUUCUUGUAUCGCUUUCAUCCUCGAAAUGUACAGAGAAGGUGGCCUGUUUGAUCCAAUCUCUAGUUCCAUCGAAGUCGCUGAAUUCAUGAUCAAGGAUGCUUACAUGCUCAAGUUUUUCGAGAACAAUGCAAGCCGUUUGCCUAAAUGGUGUAACGACAACAAUGAUGUAAAGCUACCGUACUGUCAAAUUCAUGCGAAAUACAGAAUGGAGCUUCCCGGUUACAACACUAUGGAGCCAUACCCACAUAUGAACGAGCACUGCCCGUCUCUGUGUGACUGCGUCCAAAGUACCAUAGACCAAAGAACUGCUAGAACAAAUAUAUUAAGUGUUGUCUGUUUGUUAGGAAUGACUUGGUGUAAUGAUCCACGAAUAUGUGACAAAGUUCACUUCAAAUACAUCUGCAAAGAACGAGAGUGCGACUCAUCAUUGUUGUCUUUGUAAUUUGCGUUUAAUAUUUGGGUUUUAGAUUUUACUUUAUGGAUAAAAUGUUAGGCUCAGAUUUUGGAUUA